rnacentral:lncRNA from 1 species
UCCGUCGUCUGUUGUGGUCGUCGUCUGUCGUCGUAAACUAUUUCAAGAAUCUUCUCCUCUGAAACUACUAGGCCAAAUACUUCCAAACUUUAACUGAAUGUUCCUUAGGGUAUCUAGUUUAUAAAUUGUAUCCGUAGUUUUGAUUUAUCAACAAACAUGGUCGCCAUUGCUAAAAAUAAAACAUAGGGGUCAAAUGCAGUUUUU